AUUGAACGCUGGCGGCAGGCUUAACACAUGCAAGUCGAGCGAGCGGCGGACGGGUGAGUAAUGUCUGGGAAUCUGCCUGAUGGAGGGGGAUAACUACUGGAAACGGUAGCUAAUACCGCAUACCAUCAGAUGUGCCCAGAUGGGAUUAGCUAGUAGGUGGGGUAAUGGCUCACCUAGGCGACGAUCCCUAGCUGGUCUGAGAGGAUGAUCAGCCACACUGGGACUGAGACACGGUCCAGACUCCUACGGGAGGCAGCAGUGGGGAAUAUUCCACAAUGGGCGAAAGCCUGACGGAGCAACGCCGCGUGAAUGAUGAAGGUCUUCGGGUCGUAAAGCUCUUUCAUUAGGGAGGCGGUACCUAAUCAAGAAGCCACGGCUAACUACGUGCCAGCAGCCGCGGUAAUAC
rnacentral:rRNA from 1 species